GUAGGUGGCAAGCGUUGUCCGGAAUUAUUGGGCGUAAAGCGCGCGCAGGCGGUUCUUUAAGUCUGAUGUGAAAGCCCACGGCUCAACCGUGGAGGGUCAUUGGAAACUGGAGAACUUGAGUACAGAAGAGGAAAGCGGAAUUCCACGUGUAGCGGUGAAAUGCGUAGAGAUGUGGAGGAACACCAGUGGCGAAGGCGGCUUUCUGGUCUGUAACUGACGCUGAGGAGCGAAAGCGUGGGGAGCAAACAGGGAUUAGAUACCCUGGUAGUCCACGCCGUAAACGAUGAGUGCUAAGUGUUAGGGGGUUUCCGCCCCCUUAGUGCUGCAGCUAACGCAUUAAGCACUCCGCCUGGGGAGUACGGCCGCAAGGCUG
rnacentral:rRNA from 1 species